CCCUUAGAUGUCCUGGGCCGCACGCGCGUUACACUGAUGCAUUCAACGAGCUUAUAACCUUGGCCGAGAGGCCUGGGCAAUCUUGUUAACGUGCAUCGUGAUAGGGAUAGAUUAUUGCAAUUAUUAAUCUUCAACGAGGAAUGCCUAGUAAGCGUGAUUCAUCAAAUCGCGUUGAUUACGUCCCUGCCCUUUGUACACACCGCCCGUCGCUCCUACCGAUUGAAUGUGUUGGUGAGGAGCUCGGAUUGGCAGCAGUUGGUGGUUCGCCACCGGCUAUUGCUGAGAAGUCCUCCAAACCGCCCCAUUUAGAGGAAGGAGAAGUCGUAACA
rnacentral:rRNA from 1 species